rnacentral:rRNA from 1 species
AGGGUUUGAUCAUGGCUCAGGACGAACGCUGGCGGCGCGCCUAACACAUGCAAGUCGAACGAGCGAGAGAGAGCUUGCUUUCUCGAGCGAGUGGCGAACGGGUGAGUAACGCGUGAGGAACCUGCCUCAAAGAGGGGGACAAUAGUUGGAAACGACUGCUAAUACCGCAUAAGCCCACGGUGCCGCAUGACACUGAGGGAAAAGGAUUUAUUCGCUUUAGGAUGGACUCGCGUCCAAUUAGCUAGUUGGUGAGGUAACGGCCCACCAAGGCGACGAUUGGUAGCCGGACUGAGAGGUUGAACGGCCACAUUGGGACUGAGACACGGCCCAG